rnacentral:rRNA from 1 species
UGAGUCCUACGGGACGCAGCAGUGGGGGAUAUUGCACAAUGGGGGGAACCCUGAUGCAGCGACGCCGCGUGGGCGAUGGAGUGCUUCGGCAUGUAAAGCCCUAUCAGCAGGGAAGAAAAUGACGGUACCUGACUAAGAAGCCCCGGCUAAAUACGUGCCAGCAGCCGCGGGAAUACGUAUGGGGCAAGCGUUAUCCGGAUUUACUGGGUGUAAAGGGAGCGUAGGCGGCCUGGCAAGCCUGAUGUGAAAUACCGGUGCCCAACCCCGGGGCUGCAUUGGGAACUGCCAGGCUGGAGUGCCGGAGG